UACUUUGAGAAAUAAAGUUUACAGUUAAUUCUUUUGAGUAAAUGAAUUUUUUUGCCAUACUUUUUAGGCUUUAGAGUAUAUAUAAGAUCAUUUGAAUAUACCUUGAUUUGUGUAUGUGCAGCAUUUUGUAUGUGAGGGAUCUGGAUAGUUUGAUCGAUAUCUUGACUCUGAGCUACUCAUGGUCAUACUGCCAGUUGAAACAUCGAAUUAUCCAUACCUGCUUCAGUUUUGCUCGUUUCAGGGGUGUCGUUGCUGCUGCCAGACAUCACUACGAUUAUUUUUUGUGAGAUGUGAUUUCCUGGAUAUUGGUGGUCUCUAUUAUUGCCGUGUGUCAUAGGAAGGAUUCAUAUGUGCCUCAAUUAUAUGCACGGAGGUUGGAGGUGUGCACGGAAGGUGUUUGAGUAAAUUCCCGACCGUGUAAUGUUUUAUUAGCACGGUAAGCGAUUGAUUGUUGGUGUCACGCGAGCUGAAACUUCAUGACAGUUCAGCAGCUCUAAGAGAGCAACUACAAGACGAAGCGGUGCUCAGCUGAAGAAAACCUCGGUGGUUAUGAGGCAUCUCAACAGGUUCGAACUCAAACAGUAUAUUCACUUUACAGUUCCAUCUCCGCCUUCACUUAGAAGGCAAUAUAUUUCGAUUUCUCUUCAGAACCAUCCAAGCAAGCAAGUUGCAGGGAAGAUUAAUCUCCAAUCAAUGAAACAUGUCGAGUGCUCCAUGUAGUUGUUUGUAUUUUGCAAUUCCUAUUAUAUGUUUGAACAUAAUAUAUUUUCUCAAAUAUGCUGCCACUUCAUUUAAUGUUUUUUAAAUCAUGGUGACACUUCUUUGAAGGCUAAGCCAACGGUUAGUUUACAAGAAUAAAUUUUACGACUUCAAGCACUUAACGAAUAUGUAGCUUGCUAGCCCCC